UACAGAGGUCCCAAGCGUUGUUCGGAUUCACUGGGCGUAAAGGGUGCGUAGGCGGUCGGGUAAGUCUGACGUGAAAUCUUCAAGCUUAACUUGGAAACUGCGUCGGAUACUAUUCGGCUGGAGGAAUGGAGGGGAGACUGGAAUACUUGGUGUAGCAGUGAAAUGCGUAGAUAUCAAGUGGAACACCAGUGGCGAAGGCGAGUCUCUGGACAUUUCCUGACGCUGAGGCGCGAAAGCGUGGGGAGCAAACAGG
rnacentral:rRNA from 1 species